rnacentral:misc_RNA from 1 species
AACCGCUUUCCAUCCACUGUUGCUGUUCCUGCAGCCCACAAGCGCCUGCGCCGGUGAACACGCAUCGCUUUUCCAUUCCUAACCACCCCUGUCCCCCCCCCCUUUGUGCGUACGUGCACUGUCUCGUUCUCUGCCUCGUGGGUGUGCGCAUUUUUCAUUUUCCUUCGUACGCCUUCAGCCUGCCCGAUGCCGGCCCCGAGCACUGCUGCCGUGCGGGUGCCCUUUUACUACAAGGCUAGCGAGGGCAACGCGGCGGCCGAGGCGCGCGCAGAUCGCGUCAGCGCACCUGAAGACGCCGUGUUUAUCACAAACGUCUUUAUCGAAGUGAUCGCCUUCGGGACCCGGUUUUUCUGGGUCCACAUCUCGGAGAGCCCCACUAAUCAGAGCGUGCCGCAACUUGGGGCCUGCAGCGUCGCUGUUGGACUUCAGCUCAGCGGGGACGGCGGCCGCGUCAGCAUCUCCUCAUCGCAGUUGAUGGAGUUCGAGGCGGCGCGCCAGCAGGACAUGCCCGCUGGAACGAACGGCAGCGUGCAAUCUACCUUCUCGACGAGCCUCGGCCAGCGACUAGUGCGCGGCAUCGCAAAGCAAGUAGGUGCCCAGACGACCGUGUACGUGAACUGUGCCAUCGACGGAGAGAGGUGUCUUCCGCUGCUGGGCACGGAUGGUGGAAGCGGCUUUGACAUGACGUUUCAGUUCGGUGCGCUCGUGUACGAGGAGUCGUACCGGCUGAUUGCCCAGCGGUGCGUGUGCGCGUGUGGGGUGUAAACGCGCUGCGUGAAGAGGCAGCGAAAACGAAGGGCCUCGCCAUGGGAGGAAACCUUUCUUGACACGCCCACACACACGCACACGUGAGUUUCUGCGCUGCACUCGCGCGCGAAGGACCCCACAGCCUCUUUAAGCCUUUUCGCUAUCCGGUGUUG